UACAGAGGUCCCAAGCGUUGUUCGGAUUCACUGGGCGUAAAGGGCUCGUAGGCGGCCAACUAAGUCAGACGUGAAAUCCCUCGGCUUAACCGGGGAACUGCAUCUGAUACUGGAUGGCUUGAGUUUGGGAGAGGGAUGCGGAAUUCCAGGUGUAGCGGUGAAAUGCGCAGAUAUCAGGAAGAACACCCGUGGCUAAGGCGGCUCUCUAGUACGGUACUGACGCUGAGACGCGAAAGCGUGGGUAGCAAACAGGG
rnacentral:rRNA from 1 species